GACGAACGCUGGCGGCGUGCCUAAUACAUGCAAGUCGAACGCUUUUUCUUUCACCGGAGCUUGCUCCACCGAAAGAAAAAGAGUGGCGAACGGGUGAGUAACACGUGGGUAACCUGCCCAUCAGAAGGGGAUAACACUUGGAAACAGGUGCUAAUACCGUAUAACACUAUUUUCCGCAUGGAAGAAAGUUGAAAGGCGCUUUUGCGUCACUGAUGGAUGGACCCGCGGUGCAUUAGCUAGUUGGUGAGGUAACGGCUCACCAAGGCAACGAUGCAUAGCCGAACUGAGAGGGUGAUCGGCCACACUGGGACUGAGACACGGCCCAGACUCCUACGGGAGGCAGAAGUAGGGAAUCUUCGGCAAUGGACGAAAGUCUGACCGAGCAACGCCGCGUGAGUGAAGAAGGUUUUCGGAUCGUAAAACUCUGUUGUUAGAGAAGAACAAGGAUGAGAGUAAAAUGUUCAUCCCUUGACGGUAUCUAACCAGAAAGCCACGGCUAACUACGUGCCAGCCGCCGCGGUAA
rnacentral:rRNA from 1 species